GUCAUAAACAUCACCAAAUAAGUCUGCCAAUGGAGGUUUCUCCACUUUCUCUGCGCCUUGAAUUGCUUCCACUACCUAACAUAUCAGAAAACAGGACUAUAUAAAAUCAUACUACUAGUAAACUUUUGGUGGAUUUUAGGUAGAAAAAUAAUACUAUAGGAGUAAGAAACAAUGGCAUAGUAGUUGAAUCUUGAACCUGUCUUCUGAUGUUUCCGCGAAGUUCAGUUUCAUUUUGAUCAGCCCACCAGCCAUUUCUCUGAAUCCAUUUUCUGAAUCUGGUUAUUGGGCUUUUUCCUGUUCUCCAUUGCUCUAUUUCCUUUACGCAUCGAUACUUUGUUGAAUCAUCAGAUGUUGAAUGAUGGCUUACUCUGUAUGUCAUGGCCUGCAGAGAGAGUGCUAAUGGCCCAUCCAUUGUUGCGGCAAAAGAAAAUGACAGGAGCUUCCAUUACUGCUGCAAAGUUCAAACCAGCAUGGAAAUCACCCUGCAAAUAGGAAGAAGUUGAAGCAUUCAUUCAUUCCAAAUAAGGGGAAAAAAUCACGUUACUAGUGUGCGCGAUUUUGUCACCUCACUGGUGCUACCGUCACCAAAAUAAACCACAACACAAGCGUCUUUUUUAUCCAUUUUCAGAGAGUAUGCCACACCAGCGGCCUGUGGAAGCUGUGUACUGAAACGAAAAAUGGAAUUUGCAGCUGUGAAUUGCUAAUAAGAUGUGAAAUUCAGAAACUUUUACUAGCAAAUUCGGGAACAUGAAUUUGAAGAAUCAUACGUGAGAGGAGAGGAAACAGUGAAGUAAUUAAGCUUAUUGGAACCAUAAUGUAUAGGCAUUUGCCUGCCUUUUCCAUAAUCAGCCUUAUUUCCUAACAAUUGAUCUGCGAAUUCUUGAAGAGUGAA